rnacentral:rRNA from 1 species
AGCUUAUUGUUUUUUAUAAUAGGUAGUUUCUGCCCGGUGUAGUUGUAAACGGCCGCGGUAUCUUGACCGUGCAAAGGUAGCAUAAUCAUUUGUUCUUUAAUUGGGGACUAGAAUGAAGGAAAUUUUCGAGGUUCUUGCUGUCUCUUUUUUGUGUUGGAAGUUGCUUUUUGUGUGAAGAAGCAUGGUUAAUAAAAAAAGACAAGAAGACCCUAUUAAGCUUUAUUUAUUUUGUGUUAUUUGUUGUUUUUAAAUAAGAAGUAUAACUAUAGAUAAAUUUGGUUGGGGUGACGUAAAAGGAGAAAACUAUCCUCUUUUGGUUAAUAAACGUGUGUGUUUAUUUAAGAGCCAGUAUUGCUGAUGGUUAGAAUUAGUUACUAUAGGGAUAACAGCGUAAUUUUUUUGGAGAGUUCUUAUUGAGAAAAAAGUUUGCGACCUCGAUGUUGACUUGUUAUUUCCUAAUAAGGUGUAGCAGUUGUAAGGGUUAGUCUGUUCGACUAUUAAAAUAAC